AAUUUCCACUGUGGAGAGAUGGGUUUGUCCUCUAGGAAGGCGGCUUCCUGGGGAAUCAGACCCAAGACGAUGCCUUCCCUGAAGCCCUGCAGGGGUGACAGUGGUCCAGUCUGGAAAGGGUUCCUUUAGUCUCACGCAGGGCAGCUUCAAGCUGACACGUGGUGUGUGAGUCUGUCCCUUCCCCAGAGAGGGGUGGGCAGUUGGGCCCGUGGGGUCAGGCUGUGGAGAUUCAAGGAUCACACCCCACUCAUGGCCCUGAAUGCGAAUGACCCUGUUGAGCAAUGGGCCACCCCAGUGGCACCUCCUGGAACCUGGUGGGUGGCAGCUUGGCUUCAACUGGUUGGGUCAAGGCUGAGCCAUGGCUGGUGCUUCAUGGUGCUCCAGGCCAGCCCUGGAAUCAUGGGCUUUGGGUCAAGGGUGAAGCCCGCCUGCUGCUGGGGGUCACCCUUUCUUCGAGGUCAAUGGUGGGAAGGGUUGCGUCCCGAGGUUGGAAGGCCCCCUCAUGAGGGACCUGUCCCAGGAAUUUGUUGCCCAGGCUGCUUCUGAGCCAUGGGGUCACCUCCAGGGUGGCAGGGUUUUGGGCCCAAGGAAAGGAGGGGGCACCUUGUGGCUCCUGAUUGGCCAAGUGUGGUCCAGCUCUGUGUUUGACAGGGGUCUGGGAUGUGGAUGAGGACCCAGCAGAGAAAGCAUGUGGCCCUGGACCCCAGGCUGCGAUUUCUGAUGGUGACCCCAGAGGAAUACUUGCGUUGUGCCCACUGGACCCAGGCCAGUGGCCAGUUGCCAAGCCCCUGUUGAGCUAAAGCUCAGGCCCUCCUGGGCCCUGGUCUCCUGCAUUGAGCUUGUGAGCUCUUCUGCCCAGCAGACUCCUGGCAUUGACCAGCAUAGAUGGUGACCCCAGAGGAAGACUUGCAUUGUGCCCGCUGGCCCCAGGCCAGUGGCCAUGAGCCAGUUGCCCAACCCCUGUUGCGCUGAAGCUCAGGCCCUCCUGGGCCCUGGUCUCCUGCAUUGAGCUUGUGAGCUCUUGUGCCCAGCAGACCCCCUGGCAUUGACCAGCAUAGAUGGUGAGACCAGAGGAAAACUUUCAUUGGGCCCGCUGUCCCGUGGCGAGUAGUCAUCAGUCAGGUCCCUAGCCCCUGGUGCGCUGAAGCUCAGGCCUUUCCUGGUGCCCUGGUCUCCUGCACUGAGCUGUGUGAGCUCUUCUGCCCAGGUGAGCCCCUGGCCUUGAGCAGCAUAGGUGAGUGGAUCUUGCUGGGGUCACGGGCCAUGAGCCAGGCCACGGGGGAUGGCUGAGGGUCACCCUUCAGGCCACGAGGGACCUGACCUGAAUCCCCACCAGGGAUGGCUGGUUUCUCCAGGAGGGCAGCUUCCUUGGAAACUGAUCCCAGAAGGACGCCUUCCCUGAAACCCUGCAGGGGUAACGGAGGUCCAGGCAGGAGAGGGUUCCUUCAACCCAAUGCAGUGCAGCUCCUGAGACUUGGGGCACGGCUCAGGCCUGGAGCACUUCCAAGGCCACAUGAUGGGGUCCACUGUGUCUCCGGGGGCCACAGGUGUUAUACAGGAGCUCUCUGUCCCUGAGGCUUGCAGUGGGGUAGGGUGUGGGUGAUUGAGCUUAUGGAGUCAGGCCGUGAAGAUUCAAGGACUGGGCCCAACCCAUGGCCCUGAUGGGACUGACCUGUGGAGCAAUGGGCCAUCCCAGUGGUGCCUCCUUGAGCAUGGUGGGGCGGUGUGGCCUCAGUGGGUUUGGGUCAAGACUGAGCUCUGGCCAGCACCUCAUGGUUGGCCCUGGGAAUCGUGGGCUUUGGGCCAAGGGUGCAGCCUGAGUCCCAUUGGAGGUCACCGCUACCUGAAGUGGAGUAGCUGGAAGGGUGGCAUCCUGUGGUGGAAGGCCCACUGUUAAGGGUCCUGUUCCGGCAAUUUGAUGCCCAGGCUACUUCUGAGCCAUGGAGUCACCUCCAGGGUGGCGGGGUCUUGAGCCGAAGGAAAGGAGAGGACAUCACAUGGCCUCUGAUUGGCCGAGUGUGGCCCAGCUCUGUGUUUGGGAGUUGUCCGGUGCGUGAAUGGGGACCCACCAGAGAAGGCACGUGGCCCUGGGGCGUUGGGAUGCAAUUUCUAAUGUGAGCUUAUAGAGGGUGCCUGGAUGGGUUCAUUUCAUGCCCAGGGGCAGGCCAUGUAACUACCAGGUCUGCAGUGGCACGUGGCAUCCAGGCCAGCCUCCUUGGUUUGUUGUGAGCUGGUUGGUGGCCGUGGGCCUGCCCAGUGGUCCUGGUGCAGCCCAGAGUCGAGCAGGGGAUUUUGCAUGGGCAGUGGAUGUUCUCCAGGGUCCUGCAGUAGGGUGCAGCCUGGGUGUUUUGCUCCAACCCUGUGAUCUGCCUGCCCUGUCAUUCCAAGGUUCAGUGGCCAAGGGUUCCUUGCGUUCGUGACCAUCAUGGUUUUACAUGAAUCUCAUCUCAUGAGUCCAUGGAGGAAGAGCAUGUGUGAGCCAGCCCCACCCUGCCCACUUUCCUGCAUGGAGACAUGAGGCUCUGUUUGGACACCUGUCCCCCACCCCUCCAGAUGGUGACCCCAGAGGAAGACUUACAUUGGGCCUGCUGGCUCUGGCCCAGUGUCUCUCAGCCAGCUGCUCAGCCCCUGGUGAGCUGAAGCUCAGGCCCUUCCUGGCACCCUGGUCUGCUGCACUGAGCUGCGGUGAGCCCAUCUGUGCCCCACUGAAUGCAUGGGUGGCGGGCGGUUGGGGGGCGGUGCCCUGGGUUAGGUCGAUGAUGAGAACCUUAUAUUGUCCUGAAGAGAGGUGAUGACUUAAAAAUCAUGCUCAAUAGGAUUACGCUGAGGCCCAGCCUAGGUGAGAAUUUUGGAAGAAGAUGCUGGGAUCCGGAGUUCCCCGGAAUGGCCAGUAUAUUUUGGGCUAGAGACCUUGAGGUCCUGAAUGGAAUCUCAUGGGGAUCCGACCCCUUCUCUGUGCUCCUCUGUGAGGCAGCCCAGGCUCCCUGUGUGGGCUUGGUGUCGGUGCUCCAGUUCUGACAACCCCCAUUGUCCCUUGUGUCUUUCAGUGAGCUCUUCUACCCAGGUGCAGCCCCCAGGCACUGACCAGCAUAGAUGUUGAGGCUGGAGGAAGACUUGAAUUGGGCCCAGUGGCCCCAGGCCAGUGUCCAUCAGCUAGGUGUCCAGCCCCUGGUGCACUGAACAUUGAAUACUUCCUGGCACCCUGGUGUCCUGCACUGAGCUGUGGUGAGCACAUCCGGGUCCUGCUGGAUGCAUGCACUGGGAGGUGGUGCCCUGAGUUGGGUCGAUGAUGAGAACCUUAUAUUGUCCUGAAGAGAGGUGAUGACUUAAAAAUCAUGCUCAAUAGGAUUACGCUGAGGCCCAGCCUAGGUGAGGGUUUUGGAAGAGGACACUGGCAGAGCCAUUGUAUUUUGGGCUGGAGACCUGGAAGCCCUGAAGGGCAUCUGGAGGGCCCAACCCUGUCUCUGUUCUCCUCCGUGAGGCAGUCCUGGCUCCCUGUGUGAUAGCCCUCCUGUUCCCCAGGAGCAAGGCACGUGGGCGGCUCCUCCCUGACCACCAUUCUCCCCUGUGUCUUUUAGUGAGCUCUUCCACCCAGGCGGGCACCCUGGCAUUGACCAGCAUAGGUGAGUGGAUCCUGCUGGGGUCGUGGGCCAUGCGCCAGGCUGCAUGGGGUCACCAAGUAUUAGCCUUAAGGCAGGAGGGUUUCCUCAGGGAGUUGACCUUAAUCCCCACCUGUGGAUAGAUGGGUUUGUCCUCUAGGAAAUCAGCUUCCUGGGGAAUCAGACCCAAUACGAUGCCUUCCCUGAAGCCCUGCAGGGGUGACGGUGGUCCAGUCUGGAAAGGGUUCCUUCAGUCUCAUGCAGGGCAGCUCCAAGCUGACACUCGGUUUGCGAGUCUGUCCUCGAUGACUGCCCAGGACAAAUGAGCGGGACAGCAGAGGCUCUGGGGUGCCACAGGGAUCACUUGGGGGCUCGCCGUCCCUGGAAAUGGGUGGGCGAUCGGGCCCAUGGGGUGGGGCUGCGGAGAUUCAAGGAUCGUGCCCCACUCAUGGCCCUGUAUGCGAAUGACCCUGUUGAGCAAUGGGACACACCAGUAGCUCCUUCUUGAGCCUGGUGGGUGGUGGUUCAGCUUCAACUGGUUGGGUCAAGGCUGAGCUGUGGCUGGUGCUUUGUGGUGCUGCAGGCCGGCCCUGGGACUCAUGGGCUUUGGGUCAAGGGUGCAGCCCACCUGCUGCUGGGAGUCACCCCUUCUUUGAGGUGAGUGACUGGAAGGGUCGCAUCCCGAGGUUGGAAGGCACCCUCAUGAGGGACCUGUCCCGGGAAUUUGUGGCCCAGGCUGCUUCUGAGCCAUGGGGUCACUUCCAGGGUGGCGGGGUCUUGGGUCUAAGGAAAGGAGGGGGUACCAUGUGGCUCCUGAUUGGCUGAGUGUGGCCCAGCUCCGUGUUUGGCAGGUGUCUGGGGUGUGGAUGAGGACCCAGCAGACAAAGCACAUGGCCCUGGACCCAGGCUGCGAUUUCUGGUGUGUGCUUGGAGAGGGAUCCUGGGCAGCCAUUCUCUGCGCACAGGGGCAGGCUGUGGGACUGCCAGGUUGGCAGCAGCACCUGGCUUCCGGACCAGCCUCCUUGGUUGACUGUGAGCUGGUUGGCAGCCUUGGACCCUGCCCUGGGUUUCUGUUGUGGUCUAGAGUCAUGCAGUGGAGCCACUGUGAGCGGUGAAAGUGCUCCAGGGGCCUGCUGUACGGCACAGCCUGGGCAUCUUACCCAAGCCCAGUGACCUGCCUACCUUGUCCUUCAAGGGUUCAGUAGCGGAGAGGACCAAGCGUUCCCCGGGUCCAUGACCAUCAUUAUCUCAUAUAGAUGCCAUCACAUGGGUCCAUGGAGGGAGAGCAUGUGUGAGCCAGCCCCCACUCCCUGCUUUCCUGCAUGGAGGCGUGAGGCCCCGUUUGGAUACCUGUCCCCUGUCCCUCCAGAUGGUGACCAGAGAGGAAGACUUGCAUUGCGCCUGCUAGCCCCAGGCCAGUGGCCAUCAGCGAGAUGCCCAGCCCCUGGUGAGCUGAAGCUUGCGCCCUCCUGGGCCCUGGUCUCCUGCAUUGAACUUGGUGAGCACAUUAGGGUCCCACUGGAUGCGUGUGUGGGGAGGGGGUGCCCUGGGUUGGGUCGAUGAUGAGAACCUUAUAUUGUCUGAAGAGAGGUGAUGACUUAAAAAUCAUGCUCAAUAGGAUUACGCUGAGGCCCAGCCUGGGUGAGAAUUUUGGAAGAGGAUGCUGGGAAUUACGAGUUCCCUGUGAGGUCCACUGUAUUUUGGGCUAGAGACCUGGAGGCUCUGAGGGCAUCUAGAGGGUGCCCAACCCUGUCUCUGCGCUCCUCCAUGAGG